GCUAACAAAAUGACGAUUCUUCAAUUGAGAAAAGAAACAAUUUUGAAAGCGAUGAACAAAACAGAACAUAGGAGCUAGAAAAGAUAUAAGCUUAAAACCCUACCGAAAUGGCAGAAUCCAAAAACCCAAAAAACCACCACCAAGACCCUAAAUUCUCCUCCCCACAAACACCGCCAACAAAAGCCUCAAUUGAAGUUCACAACAACAAUGGCAGCAGCUCAAAUUCGGGUCAAAGGAUCCAUUUCCCGAACCCACCGGAGUCAUUCAACCCGGAUUCUGCAACUUUGAAGGAUCAAUGGAGGUUUGCUAUACGGCAAUACAGCAGAUGGUAUUCUCAUGCUUGGGGCACUGCUAUUCUUGCUGGUGGGGCCUUCUUUGCUCUUGGUUGGAUCAUCAAGGGUGGCAACCCUCUCCCUUCUAAAGAUCCUGAUCAUCAAAAAUCUGAUCACAAUCAAGGAAAAAUAUGAUGAUCAUCAAGGAUGUAGUCACAGUAUCGGAUGAAAGGUUGAUGAGAAGGGUGCAGCUCGCCCUACCGAGGUGCAUUAUAUACAAGGUGUCAAAUUGGAGCUGACCUUUAGAUCAUUGGCUCUGUGGAUGUGAAUGACUGUUUUCAAACUCUCUUUUGCUGAACUCUGAAAACAGAUCUAUGGAAAAGAUUUAGGAUGUGCCUCACUCACUACUAACGUGGAUCAUCUCCAAUGUCAAGCGCCUUCCUGCUCACAACAUGAUAAAUCUGGGAUAAAACUUCAGUAAAUGCAUUCUCAACGUUGAGUGCUUCCAAUGCAGAUGUUUCCAUGAAGAAAGUAUUCUCCCUUUCAGAAAAACCUUUGGCAUCUUCCACAGAUACGGCACGCAGGUGACGUAAAUCAGCCUUGUUUCCAACAAGCAUGAUGACGAUGCUGGAAUCUGUGUGAUCACGGAGUUCCUUAAGCCAUCUCUGCAUGUUUUCGAAUGUGACAUGGCGUGUAACAUCGUAGACAACCAAUGCACCAACAGCUCCUCGGUAGUAUGCACUCGUGAUUGCACGAUACCUUCAUCAAUCCAAAACAUC